ensembl:lncRNA
GCUCACUGUCUUUCUUCCUGGGAGCCCAGGGAGGCUGUGCCCAAGUGUGGCCCCUGAGACAGAGCCCUGGGGCCUGGAGCCACUAAGACCUUCAGGUCUAGGCCCAUUUCCACCCACCUCUCAACUCCACCAGUGGGAACAGGCCAGGGUACGUGUCCCCCUGACGACUCCCUUGCUCCAUAAUUAGCGUUCGUGGCUUCUUCCUGAUAGUUAGGCAGCUCCUGCAGAACCCAGCACACCGGGCCAGACCCAGCAAGGCCCUGUGCUGCCCACGGCACCCACGCUGGCCGGAAGAACAGAGGAUGGCUCGGCACAGUCAGCGGGCAGCUGCGGGAGAAGUUUAAGACGGAGAGGGACAGAGUGGGAUCAGCUCACCACACAACGUGCAGGGCCUGCUCAGUGCACACGUGCUGUGAAGAAAGCAUCCAGAUGGCUGAAGACCCCAAUGAUGAUCAU